rnacentral:rRNA from 2 species
UGCCGAAGCCCCGCCUGUCCGAGGGUAGGC